CGCGUAGGCGGUUUGAUAAGUCGGAUGUGAAAGCCCCGGGCUCAACCUGGGAAUUGCAUUCGAUACUGUCAGGCUAGAGUAUGGUAGAGGGAAGUGGAAUUCCAGGUGUAGCGGUGAAAUGCGUAGAUAUCUGGAGGAACAUCAGUGGCGAAGGCGACUUCCUGAACCAAUACUGACGCUGAGGUGCGAAAGCGUGGGGAGCGAACA
rnacentral:rRNA from 1 species